rnacentral:lncRNA from 1 species
GCCUGCUUCAUGUUGCGGCUCUGCUAGGAGAGUGAAAGAACCCUCCUUCUCUGCACGCCGUUAAAACCGCCGAGUGCCCUGCCUCGCGAGGCUGAGAUGGAGGAUUCAUGGGUCCCUGUGCUGUCUCUCGUGAGCUCCUGCCUCCAAGUGCUUCGUCUGCAGUGGCUGGGCUGCUGCCCGUCUCAGCCCUUCUCAUCGCAGCACGGUGGCGGCCAAAACAAGCCAGCCCCAUUGGCUCCAGCUGUUGGCCUUGCACAGCGUGCACAGCGUCGGGUUUCACCAGCACUGCUCUGCCAGGCCAAAUAUAGCGUCCUGCUUUGGCCCACCGCAGGGCAAGGGAGGUGGAAGAGCGCUACCACGGUGUUUACAGACCUCUCCUGCAAAGCGCCUACAGGUGACCAGCUCCAUGGGCCAGGAGACCUGCAGGGUGGCUGAGACCAGCAAGGAGUUGCCAUGCGCAGGCUGUAUGUGGCAUUCGCCUUGAAUGAUUGAGCACUGCUACACCACCGUGCCAGCAGCCUUACUGCCACUGCACAGUCGCAGGUAAGAGGGGGAGCCCAGCAGCCAACCUGUCCUGGGACAGGUCCUGCG